rnacentral:lncRNA from 1 species
CAAGCGAUUGUUUAAUCGCAGCUUUAACCUAGUGGGUCUGCCAAUUUGUUGACGUCGUUGUACCAGUGGCGUUGCAUGCUUAGUGUGAAGAUUAGUUUGUGAGAAACAGGAGGACGCACUCUAAACGGGGCUGUGCUAAUGUAUUGAAGAAAGCUGCUGCAAUACAGCCGGUUAGCGUCCGCAAGUCCGAAGGAUGAAGACAGCAGUUUCCCUGUUCAUUCCCUCGAUGUCUGUACGCGUCUGCCGGCGUUCUUGACAGAACUCGCCCUCGUUGCGUCCGCCCGACGGUUGACCAGCUUUCCCAGCGUUCGACGACAACCGACGAAGUCAAUUAGCAGCAGGGACACCCUCGAGUACCCUCGAGCCCCUAUGUGUAACCUAGCCAGGUCGGCCCGUCUAGUCAACUUAAGUGACGUAAUACGGUCAAACAGAAUCGUAGGCCAUUAUCGCCAGUCUGUCCGUUUGCCCUGUUGGUUGUGUUUGAAUGUUCCACGUUGUAAAAAGAAAGAAAGCGUGGAUGUCGUUCUGAACUAGGGCGGCGACAUCGUUUCAUUAUUCGUGUAUCUCUGUAUAGGGAUCGUGGUAGACUGUGGUGUAAAACACGGAUAGGCCACUUCUAGCUGGAGUAGCAGGACCGGGACAGUGUGGCCUAGACGUGCUGCAACGAGUAAAUCAUAUAUGCGUGUAAGUAUCACUAAACUUGGUAUCGCAGGAUAGGACGAAACAGUCGACUUACCUGAACCGUAGGCAUGAACGUUGCAGAGACUACAGUGUUACAAUGUGGACGUUGCAUUGAAAACGCUGUGCACAAGGUUAAACUGUCACGCAGACAUCAAUCGGACAAGUGAAUCAGCGGGACGUGCUUCAAAGUUAAGGUGUCUAGAGUGACACGCCGAUUCCGGGCCUGUAGCAGAGCUAGUGAAACAGCGACGGUUCCUGCUAUCUGCCCUCUCUACAAAGCCGCUCGGUAGGGUAAAACCUGAUAAGCGGCCUUGAUGCGCCGAGGUGACGCUGCGAGUUCUGGCUCCAGUAUGAUUCGGCUACGGCUUAUACACUCACAGGCCAUGCACAGCACGCACGUCCUGGCCUCACCGGUUGGAUGUUGCUUGGGCCGAGGGGAAGGAAUUUAUGGCCACAUGUAAACGCUGUGGAGUGUAGAGAUGCCUGGAAGUGCCAUAGCGCCCCGGGCUCACAUAUGCGAGAAACUCAAACGGGUUAACCUUGUGAACGAUGAAAAUGCCGAGGGCAUAUCAUCGUCGACCUUUUCUGUUGGAGACGGUUGGCACGUUAUGCACAUAUACAUUCACACGGAUACAUUGCACUGUUGGGACAAGCCGUUGCUCGUGAAAUUGGGUGGCUUUGGCGAGAGCAAUAGGUUCACGGUCAAAAUAUAAAACUUCAACUAGUACUGCUAUCACGAAGAUUUAGCUCUCGUAAGCAUACGCUCACCUGUGCAAACUACUGAGUGUCGACCCAACGCUUAGUUAAGCAAAAUCAACUGCUUUCUAAUAGAGAGAAUGAUCAGCAUUGUUGUUUACUUGAUUGCUAAACGUCUCUUUAUUGAAUUAAAAAAUUACGUACGUUAGAUCUCAAUAAAAGGUUACUCCGCCAGUUUUAUGCUCCUAUUGAAUUCGUAACAGCUAUAAGUGUAAGUAAAGGAACACUCGAUCCAUGGUCCCGAUAAAUGAUAUACAGUAUCCUUAGGUUUGGAUUUCUUUAUUAGAAAUUAACAUGUAUGACUCUGUUUUACAUUGUUUCCUGUCAACGUCUUCAGUAUCGCGCCAAUCGCUUAAUGUCUGACCAAGUUGUGUGCAGAUCAUUCAUUAAUAAGUUAAUCUGAUUCGAAAUGUUGUCGACUGUGGACCUCAUUUAGCACAGAACUAUCUGAACAGACUAAAUAAUUCUCCGCUUUUUCCAUCCUUCGGCCAUGGUGCGUUGACAGCCAGCCCCUUCGUAAGUCGAAUUUUUUUCCUUAGGAAACAUAGAAAGGUAACAUCUACCGUUUGAUAAUUUGGUUGGGAUGUGGUAAAAGUCCGCUUGAUCAUGAAGCAUGAAGUGUUGGCAGAAUACCAGGAUGGAACAUUGAACCACUGCCAAUAACUGUGUACUUUAAUUAGCAGUAACGUAUGAAACGUUCCCGGUGUAUGAUUGUUGGUCACAUGAGCCAUGCCCCAUCUGAGACUAAAUGGGCAGCGGAUAUGAGCUGUUGCUAUGUGGCGACUAUGUAUCGUAUCGAUAUAUUAUAAAGAUCGUAUUUGGGUCAUUGCUCAAUUUCUAUCAACGACUUCAGCUGUCUCUAUCGUGUGAAUAAGUUGUCAACUUCGGUUUUUUGGUACAAUGGAAUGGAUUAGCCCAAAUAACCUGCACUAUCUUCUACUCAUUUGUCAAUCUGUCGGAUUUCUUCCGGAUCUGGAAGUGGGUGAACUUGUCAAACGGAACAUAUCAAACUUGAGUAGUGAAUUUUAAGCUGUCAAAUUAACCGAUUCCAAGCACCGAUCGAUCAGCAAUAUUUUAUAAAAAGCUCCAUUAAAUUGUCCCUGGCUAACAUGUCGACAUUCAUUGAAGAAGGUAACCGAUUCUAUGCUAUAGGUUUACUAUAGAAUAAAAGAAACAACGACAAAAAUAUUCUACAAGUUGUUUUAGUCGGCUUAAAAAUGGGCCUGCUAAACGCACCUAAGGCCAAAUACUAUACGAGGAUUUUUCAACAUAUCUGCUAUUUGAAAUGAAGGAAUAAACUACCAUUAUUAUUAUUAUUAUUACUCCAUUGUCACGUUUAUGGCCAAAGUGGCCAAUUUUUACGUAUAGUUCGCUUGAUAAAAGUGGUCAGAAAAUUGGUGACGAUCACUCGUUGUUAGUGUGACUGCUUUCUUUCUGCACGUAGUAGCCAAGCCUCUGAAAUAUGAUUGUGUUUGGCUCCAUUCGUGCAUUUCGCUGGCGUUUUAAGCCAACAUUGUAUCGUUAGCGAAGCGACAUUAAAUACUCUGUAGCAGUGUUUACGUAGUCAAACGAAAAUGUUCAUUUAUUCAGAUCUACGCCUAGUGUAAUAUUCGACAGGAUGCCCCGUUAGGGCUUUGCCCCAUCUAGCGGUAAAGGAUUCUGAGCUCGUUUUCUCCAACCAGUACAUUCAACAGAAUGCAGUAUUAGCUGCGGAUUUUGGAUACGCAGACAUAUUAUUGCUUCGUUAAUACAACAGCGGUCAAUAUACUUCAGUAAUAAGCGUCAGGUCGUGCCGAAAACGUCACAUGCCAUUUUAGAUUUGCUAAUGACUCUAUUUAUGGUCCUGAAAUUCUGCAUUUUCUUGUCGUGCCCUUCGUCGGCGUUAAUUAUGGUGUGUC